UAUAAUCGAUUAUUGAACUCGAAUCAUUUUUAUUUUUAACCAUAGCUUUUACGUAAAGUAUACUGUACCUAGUUGCUAAGUUCUACAUCUUAAUGUUUUCUACGAUAUUUAAACUUACUUAAAUGUUUAUUACUUGAUGAUACGUAAUAUAAGCAAAUUUAUAAGGGAAGAUAUUCAUAUAAAAGUAUUGAAUACUUACUUACAAAAGCACAAACCUUAUCGGUACUAAUAUAUUUACCAAAAACGAAUAUGAUUAAAAUAAAAGUGCCUACUCGGGAAUCGAUCCAUCAUCGAUUAUUUUUUCAUUAAAGCAUAGGUCGGAAGCAAGGAACAUAAGUCUUUACAAUACAAAAUAAACAUCUAUUAUUAUGUUUGUGUUUGCAAUAUGCAAUUGGAAAAUCGAUAAGGUAAGCUUGUGUGUUGAAGUUUACGUAUUAGUUUAGAGAGUUACGUAAAAUGAAAUAUUUUAAUGUUUUAUCAGUAAUCAGGCAUCAGUUAUUUACUAAAGUUUGUGUUCUAGCCCUUUCAUUUCUAAACUCCAAAGUUUUCUAAAAAUGGGUACCUGCUGUGGUGUUUGUGACUGUAUUUUAAACACACAAUUAACUGAUUAAACCUUUAUUAGCACGGAAACAAUUGAAUGCUGUUUACACUUUUUAACAUCGAAAUAUUAUGACAGAUAAAAAGGGCCAUAGAACCUUAGGAUGAGUUCCAAAUACAAUUCUACAAUCCCUUUCUUCCUUAAAGAAAAUUAAGUAAAGACAGUAAGUUACAUUGAAACAUUACAUUACCAUUACAUAAUGAUAACAACUUAACAAUUAAUUACAAUGCUACAAAACAUAUUCAAAUAAUACAACUGUAUCAAUCUAACCAUAGUUACAAAACCUAUCAGACAACCUAUACUACUAUUAUUUAUAGGUGUACUUACAAUGAUGAUUGUUCAUUAUACAGUAUACUAUGUAUUAAUCAUUU